rnacentral:tRNA from 1 species
GGGAAUAUAGUUUAAUAUUUUAGGUUAAAACAUAUGAUUUGCAUUUAUAAGUUAUUGGUUCAAUUCCAAUUAUUUCCA